rnacentral:misc_RNA from 1 species
UCUUUGUUAUAAUGAUUUUUGAUUUCGUUAGGAUAAAUAUAUAGGUAUAUAUACAUAUGUCGGUACUAUUUUAAUUUUGUUGCCUUUGACGUCACUUUUUUUUUUUAACAAAAAUCUUAAAUUAUUUUAAGGGCACUCUUAAUCGUUGUGUAAUCUAAAAUUCUCCUUUCAUACGCUCCGAGACAUUUUAUGAAUAACCUUCCCGGAAUAUUUGCUGCGACGGCACGGUGAGGAAUUUAUGAAUUUGUUUUGUGUCAUUUAUGUAUAAGAGUAUGUGUAGCAAUUUUUAAUACCGUUUGAUCCGCUGACUUUCUGAAAUUCUUUAAAUUUUUUCUCGGUACUUAACGCGUCGUCAUUUGCGUCGUGAAUCGUAGGUACCUACAUACUUUUAUUGGCGAUGUUGAAAUAAAAAUAAAUAUGUGCAAAAAAACGUCAAACUUUGAUGUAAAAUAUCGUAAAUAAUAUUUUAUGGUGUAAUAAAAACUGACUUCAAAACAAUGCAUGUUCUUAAUUUAUGUACGUACUUAUUUUUUAUUCUUUUUGUUAUUAUGCGAUAUCUCCGUCAAUUCUGGAUUGAUUUUCAUUAUUCCUUUUGCAAAUUACAGGGUUUACUCUCGUUGAUCCAUAGAUACAUGGUAUUGGACUAGUAUUGAUGUGCAAUGAGGCUUUCGAAACAUAAAAAAAAAAUAUAGCAGAAAAGCAGACCGAAUCGACCGAGCUGAAUGGAGGCUUGAAAUAAUAUCCCUUUCAUGUCGGUGUAACGGCGUGAAAUGCAAGCCACACUGGGAGCUAAGCUAAGCUAAUCUAACCUAACACACACACAUAUCCACACACACACAUCUCUUUUCAAAAAUAUGUAAUAGUAUUAGAAAUAAGUACCUUAUGGAACCUUAAAUGUUUUGCAUU